GGCAUUCUUGCCUGAAAAGGCAUUCGAUUGAAAUAUUUCUGAGUGAUUAGCAGAAUUUAAUUGCUCAUUGUUUUUUCAUAUUACUUUGUAUAUAAUGAUCUAGGUAGUUCUUUUUGUUUUUUGUUUUUCAGAGUAAACAAAUAGCUGUGUCAAAGACCUAGAUGAAUAGUUGAUGCUUGUCUUGUUGCAAGGACAGUACUUAAUGCUGCGCAAGUGUUCUCUCCUGUCGUCUCUCUCACACACAAAAACAACAAUAGCCAUCAAUAUUAAUAGAUACAAAAGGACGGCACUACUUACAAGAACACUACAACCAAUACUAUUAUUACCAAAGAUGACAACUAAUAGCCUAACGAAUACAAACUAGUACCACUACUAGUGAAACCAAAAUCAGCAUUAACACCACCACCAUCAUUAAAGUCGGUUCCUUGUAAGUUGACAGGGAAUUCGAUUGAUUUCUAUGUAAACCGCAAAAUAUUAUCAGAUGGAAGUGUACUAGAAUAUUACUGGUAUUCGUUUCCUACGACUGAUUUUUGAAUUGCGAUCACUGAAUUCAAGUAUCGAAGUAAGCCUAUACAAUAAAGCCACCCACUAUCAGUUCCUGUGACACAGUCAGCUUCCAUCAACACGCGAACAGCAGUUAAAACGAAACUAUAACGACAAUUGCAGUAAAUAUCAAAGACAACAACAACAACACACAUACAUUAAAAAUUACAACAACAACAACACACAUACAGUAAAAAUUACAACAACAACAACAACAGAGCAACUACAAAAGCAACAAGCAUUGAACAACAGCUACCACGACUACAACAAAGGCAAUUAAUAAACAAUUAACGAAUAACGUCCGAUAAAGAAGGAAGCAAAAAAAAAAAACAAUAGUACCGCCACCAGCAACAGAAAGACAAUAUCUUGUUUGUAUUUGACGUCUCAUCUUUACACAUGUGAGUUCAUUCAAAA